rnacentral:rRNA from 1 species
GUGCCAGCAGCCGCGGUAAUACGAAGGGGGCUAGCGUUGCUCGGAAUUACUGGGCGUAAAGGGAGCGUAGGCGGACAUUUAAGUCAGGGGUGAAAUCCCGGGGCUCAACCUCGGAAUCGCCUUUGAUACUGGGUGUCUUGAGUAUGAGAGAGGUGUGUGGAACUCCGAGUGUAGAGGUGAAAUUCGUAGAUAUUCGGAAGAACACCAGUGGCGAAGGCGACACACUGGCUCAUUACUGACGCUGAGGCUCGAAAGCGUGGGGAGCAAACAGGA